UGGGGAAUAUUGGACAAUGGGCGCAAGCCUGAUCCAGCCAUGCCGCGUGAGUGAAGAAGGCCUUCGGGUUGUAAACCGCUUUUGUCAGGGAAGAAACGCUCUGAGCUAAUACCUCGGAGUAAUGACGGUACCUGAAGAAUAAGCACCGGCUAACUACGUGCCAGCAGCCGCGGUAAUACGUAGGGUGCAAGCGUUAAUCGGAAUUACUGGGCGUAAAGCGUGCGCAGGCGGUGAUGUAAGACAGAUGUGAAAUCCCCGGGCUCAACCUGGGAACUGCAUUUGUGACUGCAUCGCUGGAGUGCGGCAGAGGGGGAUGGAAUUCCGCGUGUAGCAGUGAAAUGCGUAGAUAUGCGGAGGAAAACCGAUGGCGAAGGCAAUCCCCUGGGCCUGCACUGACGCUCAUGCACGAAAGCGUGGGGAGCAAACA
rnacentral:rRNA from 1 species